GUUAACUGUUCUUUUUCUUAUUGACAAUGCAGAGGUGACAUUAGCUCUUCAAAAUUCUGUUCCCAUUGUUAUGAGGGGUUAGUAACCCUGCUGGUUCCAAUUUUAGGCUAACAAAUCAAGAUACAGGAAGCCUUGACAAAUUGAGGAGCUGAUUCUCUAAGGUGGGACCAGCACAAUGUUGUAAUACAGGAAGAACUCUUAAUGUCUUUGUAAUGAGAGGAGUGGUAAUCAGUUUGCUCUCUUCUGGUGGAGAACUUCUCAAGAAUGCUACUGAGUUCUGAUAAAAUGAUCACAAGUUUGGGCAAGAGAAUUUGAACCUUUUG